UCAAAUGAAUUGACGGGGGCCCGCACAAGCGGUGGAGCAUGUGGUUUAAUUCGAUGCAACGCGAAGAACCUUACCAUCCCUUGACAUCCAGUGAACUUUCCAGAGAUGGAUUGGUGCCUUCGGGAACACUGAGACAGGUGCUGCAUGGCUGUCGUCAGCUCGUGUUGUGAGAUGUUGGGUUAAGUCCCGCAACGAGCGCAACCCUUAUCCUUAGUUGCCAGCACGUAAUGGUGGGAACUCUGGGGAGACUGCCGGUGAUAAACCGGAGGAAGGUGGGGACGACGUCAAGUCAUCAUGGCCCUUACGGGAUGGGCUACACACGUGCUACAAUGGCGCAUACAAAGGGCAGCAAGCCAGCGAUGGUUAGCGAAUCUCAUAAAGUGCGUCGUAGUCCGGAUCGGAGUCUGCAACUCGACUCCGUGAAGUCGGAAUCGCUAGUAAUCGUGGAUCAGAAUGCCACGGUGAAUACGUUCCCGGGCCUUGUACACACCGCCCGUCACACCAUGGGAGUGGGCUGCACCAGAAGUGGUUAGUUUAACCUUCGGGAGAACGAUCACCACGGUGUGGUUCAUGACUGGGGUGAAGUCGUAACAAGGUAGCCGUAGGGGAACCUGCGGCUGGAUCACCUCCUUAC
rnacentral:rRNA from 1 species